rnacentral:rRNA from 1 species
AUGAAGCUGGAAUCGCUAGUAAUCGCAGGUCAGCAUACUGCGGUGAAUACGUUCCCGGGUCCUUGUACACACCGCCCGUCACACCAUGGGAGCCGGAAAUGCCCGAAGCCAGUGACCCAACCUUAGGGAGGGAGCUGUCGAAGGUGGAGCCGGUAACUGGGGUGAAGUCGUAACAAGGUAUC